GCUUACGGCCAUACCACCCUGAGAACGCCCGAUCUCGUCUGAUCUCGGCAGCUAAGCAUGGUCGGGCCUGGUUAGUACUUGGAUGGGAGACCGCCUGGGAAUACCAGGUGCUGUAAGCU
rnacentral:rRNA from 1 species